UGUUUCGGCUAGGGGGCCAUCCCGGCUUACCAACCCGAUGCAAACUGCGAAUACCGGAGAAUGUUAUCACGGGAGACACACGGCGGGUGCUAACGUCCGUCGUGAAGAGGGAAACAACCCAGACCGCCAGCUAAGGUCCCAAAGUCAUGGUUAAGUGGGAAACGAUGUGGGAAGGCCCAGACAGCCAGGAUGUUGGCUUAGAAGCAGCCAUCAUUUAAAGAAAGCGUAAUAGCUCACUGGUCGAGUCGGCCUGCGCGGAAGAUGUAACGGGGCUAAACCAUGCAC
rnacentral:rRNA from 9 species